CUGCCCUCAAGCACGGCUUGUGUGUUGGGCUCUCGCCCCUCCGUCUCGGGAGGGCGGGCCCGAAAGGCAGCGGCGGCACCGCGUCCGGUCCUCGAGCGUAUGGGGCUUCGUCACCCGCUCUGUAGGCCCGGCCGGCGCCCGCCGGCGAACACCAAUCAAUCUUAACCA
rnacentral:misc_RNA from 1 species